GAGUAAGAGACGUAGGGAAAUGGGACCCACCCUCCAACAUAGAAAGUAGCUAAAUCUACUAGUGAACAUGUUAUUUUUAAAGGCACUGUAAUGAGCCCCUUGUCUGUGGGUCCCCAAACAGUGACACACACCUUUUCCCAACUUCUGCUUUCUGCAGCUAACUAAAAAAAUAACUCACAAGUCCUGCCAAGAAAAUAAUGAAACAUUCCAGAAUCUUAGGCCUUAGCAGACUUUAAUCAAAGACUCAAUGAUCUAUGCUGGCUCUGGAGGCCUCUUCAAAGCUGAAAUCCACCAUGUAAUGACCGUGGCAUGAACCACAACCGGAAAGAGCAGCAUCUGUGAAUGGUGGAAGACGUGCCUGUUUUCCGCUCUAGGCUCCCUGGAAAAAGGAGCAGAACUCCACUGAGAGACUCCAACGCAUCUAAGCAUUCUCAGCUUCAACCAAACCAGCCACGUCCACGUCCCAAGCCUGGAGUCAGUGCUGGAGGACUGCUUUAGAGGGAGUGUCAACCGAUGUGACUUUGAUGGAACUCUGAAAGAUUGAUGGCAAGCGACGAUAUGUAAGUGAACGCCAUAGUAGUGGGAGUUACUAGAUGUCUAAGCUGGGAGCUAAAUGAGAGUGGGUUUUGGGGACACCCAGACAACUUCCCACCUCUAACCAAAUUAUUCUUUGCACAACAUAGUUGAAGUGAGAAGAAAUUUGCAAAUCCUAAACUAAGUCUUUUUGGUAAUUUUUCUAAGAACAAUACAUUUUCUACUAAAAUAG
rnacentral:lncRNA from 1 species